CAAACUACACAUACAAAUGUGAAAUCUUCACACUUUGAAAUACAAAUCGGACAGCUUUUUGUCACAGAUUGUGCUAUUGAAAUGUAAAGGUCUGAGUGAAGUUAGUUUAGUUAAAAGCCUGCCUGUGGAGGAUGCUAUUAAGUGAAUUGAAAUGAACCAACAUGUAAACAAUAUAAAGUGAAGCGAAUAAUAUAAUGCAAAAGAAUGAAUGGACUGAUAUAAAGCCACUCAAGCGAAAAUUGGAAUGGAAAUUAAAAACUCAAACAUGACAAACUCUGACAAAUCAAGCACCAAACGAAAUAAAAGUAGAAAACCUAUCAAAAUUAGAGAAGUUGUGGAGGAAAAGAAAGUCAAACAGUGGAAUUGAGCAGCCUUUGGCUUGCAGUUAUAAGCUAAACACCUGAAUCGUUUUAAGUCUUGGACGAAAAAUAGCACUAAAUUUAAUAUAGAAGAACCGGCAUCUUCCAAAUAGAUAUUUUUUCCCUGAAUAAACCAAAUGUAUGCACAAAGAAA